CCUACGGAGGCAGCAGUGAGGAAUAUUGGUCAAUGGACGAGAGUCUGAACCAGCCAAGUAGCGUGAAGGAUGACUGCCCUAUGGGUUGUAAACUUCUUUUAUAAAGGAAUAAAACGAGGAACGUUUGCCUGUUUGCAUGUACUUUAUGAUUAAGGAUCGGCGAACUCCGUGACAGCAGCAGCGGUAAUACGGAGGCUCCGAGCGUUAUCCUUAUUUAUUGGGUUUAAAGGGAGCGUAGUUGGGUUGUUAAGUCAGUUGUGAAAGUUUGCGGCGCAACCGUAGAAUUGCCAUUGAUACUGGCAGUCUUGAGUACAGGUGAGGUAGGCGGAAUUCGUGGUGUAGCGGUGAAAUGCUUAGAUAUCACGAAGAACCCCGAUUGCGAAGGCAGCUUACUAAACUGUGACUGACAUUGAUGCUCGAAAGUGUGGGUAUCAAACAGGAUUAGAUACCCUGGUAGUC
rnacentral:rRNA from 1 species